GCUGCCGAUCGAUGCCACUGGCGAUCCGCCGGCGUUACUUGAGGGACUUUGGGAGCCUGUCCGGAAUUGAAGAUUGUUUUUUCCGGGGGGGAAUUUGGGUUUCAAAGGAAAAUUAAGGGAAUGUGACUGAGGGCCCCCCCGGGAGGGGACCGGGGGUUUAAUUUUGACUCACCGGGAAAAUCUCCCGGGCCGGAACCCUGAAGGGAUUGACAAAUUGAGAGCUUUUUCUUGAUUCGGGGGGGGGGGGUGCGGGCCCUUUCUUAUUGGGGGGAGCGAUUUGUCGGGUAAAUUCAAAUAACAAAAGAAACUCUGCCCUACAAAAUAGACAUGGGAUCUCUUUGUGGGACACUUCUUCUUCGGAGAGGGACGGGCGGCCCCCUAGAAAUUGAACAAUGACAAAUCUGUGGUCUGUGAUGCCCUUAGAUGUUCUGGGCUGCGCUCCACGCUACACAAUAAGGAAUGCUCGUGUGUACCCUGUCCGAAUUGACUGGGAAACCCAAUGAAUCUCCUUCUUGAUGGGGAUUGUGGAUUGAAUUUAUUCCCCACGAACGAUGAAUUCCCAGUAGGCGCGAGUCAUAAGCUUGCUUCCAUUACUUCCCUGUUGUACAGUACACACCGCCCGUCGCUACUACUGAUCGAUUGAUUGAAUGAGGACGACCGGACCAUGUCUUCGUUAUCGCUUUCUGGUCUUGGUGAAAAAUACAUAGAUGCCCAGGCUUUGAUCACUUGCAAGAGUAAACUCGUAUCCCGGUGUCGAUACUGUCGAACUGAUGAAGGAUGAAUGUCCUAAUCCUUUCAACACUGCUCACUAGUCCAUGGGUGAUGGUGACUCGAGCUGCCGGUAUCGAAGAGAUUUUAUUAUUCGCCCGGACGCGAAUAGCGAACUAUAUUUCCCCUGCUGGGACGCUCUGCGUGUAGGCAU
rnacentral:rRNA from 1 species